CCCCACCACCGGGCCACUCAAUGAUGACGCUUCCACGGGGGCCCUGCCUGAGGAGGACGCAGUGGCGGCGAGGCCGCAGGAGGCUGCGGGGGAUGGAGGAGUGGAAGGAGGAGGGCGAGGCUGAGAUCCAGGAGCAUGGGCCGGAGCACUGGUUCUCCAAGUGGGAGCGGCAGUGCCUGGCCGAGGCCGAGCAGGAUGAGCAGCUGCCCCCCGAGCUGCAGGAGGAGGCGGCGGCCGCCACACAGCCCAAGCACAAGCAGCAGAAGCUGUGGCACCUCUUCCAGAACUCGGCCACCACUGUGGCCCAGCUCUACAAAGACCGAGUGUGUCAGCAGCCAGGACUUUCUCUCUGGGUCCCCUUCCAAAACGCAGCCACCGCCGUCACCAACCUCUACAAAGAAAGCGUGGAUACCCACCAGGGAAGUUUUGAUAUUGAAAUUCAGAUUGGCUAUCAGCGACACAAUAAGGAUGUGUUGGCUUGGGUUAAAAAACGCAGAAGAACUAUUCGUAGAGAAGAUUUGAUCAGCUUCCUGUGUGGAAAAUUUCCUCCACCAUGAAACUCUAAAGCUCCCCCAAGACUGACUGUAGUGUCCCCUAACUGAUUUGCAACCCUUCCGGGAAGCCAUAGCUCUGCAUGGUCUUAGUGGUGCAAUGGCUAGUAUAAGCAUGUGCUCGAGAACCCCAGGCUCUCCUACCCAUGUAAGCAGUGGAUCGAAUGGUAGUCGAAGGAGAAAUGGACUCCAUGAUGCUGAUUUGAACACUUUCAUAUCAGAAGAAAUGGCACUCCACUUGGACAAUGGUGGAACUAGAAAGUGUACCUCAGCCCAGUGUGGCGAUGUCAUUACAGACUCACCAACCCAUAAACACAACAGAAUGAUCUAAAAUGCAGACAUUUUCACACCCACCAUGCUGCUUGAAAGCCACUUGAUCCUCAAUAUAUAUUAUUAUUGCAAAGGAAACAUGAGGCCAUCUUCCCUGUUCACUGUUUAAGACAAGUGAAUUCUAUAGUGGUUGCCAUAAAAGGAAGUUCUAGGUAUUUACAGUAGAUGCCUCUUGUAACUAUGACUUUCUUAAAACUAUAAUCCUAGCAGAGGACAUCAGAUAUCGUGUAGUCAUUAGCAAGAUCAUCAUAGGCAAACAUAUAUCUGUUCCAAGGCUAAAAGUGACCUUAACUGUAUUUAUUCUCAAAGGGAAAGGAAAUAUCAGAUGUUUAUUUGGUUAUAGAAUGCUUUCUUUCUUUUUUGGUCCAUUUGCUGCUGUGUUGCUUCUACAGUAUUGCCAGUUUCCUAAAAUUGUCUACAAACACGAUUUGGCUUCCGUUUUUGCAGCAGCACUGUACCAUGCACCUGGUUUCUAUAUAGUAGCAGUGUGCCACUUCGAGUUAUUGGACUGUGCCCUGUUUUUAGUUUUCAAAGCAGUUUCUAAUUCUGGUGAUUGUGUGAUGUAAAGAGGUGCUAUGAUGGUCAUGCAAUUAAUACUUAAUAGUCAAUACACA